CAAAGAUUUGGUCCUAGUCUUACUAUCAGCUACUACUCAACUUACACAUGCAAGUCUCAGCACCCCCGUGAGAACACCCCUAACCCUCGCCAGGACAGGGAGUCGGUAUCAGGCACAGACUUCUAGCCCACAACACCUAGCAAAGCCACACCCUCAAGGGUAAUCAGCAGUGAUAAACAUUGAAAAUAAGCGCCAGCUUGAUUCAGUCAGAGUUUACAGAGCCGGCCAACCCGGUGCCAGCCGCCGCGGCUACACCAUCGGACACAAGUUGAUAGUCUUUCGGCGUCAAGCGUGUUUAGACUUUAUAAUACUUAGAGUUAAAUUUAGGCUCAGUUGUGAUACACUUGCCCCCUAGAAAAACAUAACCGAAAGUUACUCUAAUCACUUUACUCGAAUCCACGACAGCUAAGAAACAAACUGGGAUUAGGUACCCCACUAUGCUUAGCCGUAAAACAUGUACUUACACCACAAUCCGCCAGAGUAUUACGAGUACAAACUUAAAACUCAAAGGACUUGACGGUGUCCCACCCACCUAGAGGAGCCUGUUCUAUAAUCGAUAUUCCCCGCUAAACCUACCCAUUUCUUGCUUCUCAGCCUGUAUACCUCCGUCGCAAGCUUACCCUAUGAAUGACUUAGUGAGCAAAAAGGCUAUUACACCCACACGUCAGGUCAAGGUGCAGCCUACGAAAUGGUGAGAAAUGGGCUACAAUUUCUACCACAGAACAUACGAAAGACCCUAUGAAACUAAAUCAUGAAGGAGGAUUUAGUAGUAAAAAGGAAAUAGAGUGUCCUUUUUAACCCGGCACUGGGACGCGUACACACCGCCCGUCACCCUCUUCAAUACUACCCACCCUGUAUUUAACACAUGCUCCAUAAAAGAAGAGGCAAGUCGUAACAUGGUAAGCAUACUGGAAAGUGUGCUUGGAUUAAU
rnacentral:ncRNA from 1 species